AAACGUCAGGAAUUUUCAUUUGACGCUUUUGCCAAAGAGCGAGUUUCCCAGAGACACAGCGAGAAAUGAGAAAAUGAAAAUCCCUUGCAAUUAAGAACUGUCAACGCUUCUUUGUACGCAUAACAUUCUUGAGAUUUCUGGCAAAUUCCUUGGUGCUCAUUUGAUUUACGACCGCAUCCAUCCAUCCAUCCGCUGUGUAUUGUGUUAAAAGUAAUUUGGCGAUUGAUUUUCACUCUUUAUAUGUUUGUAGGUACUCCCCUCUGUAUCCCUCUUUGGUACAUCCAAC
rnacentral:lncRNA from 1 species